CUUUGCCGGCGAGCGGCGGACGGGUGAGUAGUGUCUGGGAAACUGCCUGAUGGAGGGGGAUAACUAGUGGAAACGGUAGCUAAUACCGCAUAACGUCACAAGACCAAAGAGGGGGACCUUCGGGCCUCUUGCCAUCAUAUGUGCCCAGAUGGGAUUAUCUAGUAUGUGGGGUAACGGCUCACCUACGCCACGAUCCCUAUCUGGUCUGAGAGGAUGACCAGCCACAGUGGAACUGAGACACGGUCCACACUCCUACGGGAGGCAGCAGUGGGGAAUAUUGCACAGUGGGCGCAAGCCUGAUGCAGCCGUGCCGCGUGUAUGAAGAGGGCCUUCGGGUUGUAAAGUACUUUCAGCGGGGAAGAAGGUGUUGAGGUUAAUAACCUCAGCGAUUGACGUUACCCGCAGAAGAAGCACCGGCUAACUCCGUGCCAGCAGCCGCGGUAAUACAGAGGGUGCAAGCGUUAAUCGGAAUUACUGGGCGUAAAGCGCACGCAGGCGGUCUGUCAAGUCAGAUGUGAAAUCCCCGGGCUCAACGUGGGAACUGCAUUCGAAACUGGCGGGCUAGAGUCUUGUAGAGGGGGGGUAGAAUUCCGUGUGUAGCGGUGAAGUGCGUAGAGAUCUGGAAGAAUACCUGUGGCGAGCGCGGCCCCCUGGACAAAGACUGACGCUCAUGUGCGAAAGCGUGGGGAGCAAACGAGAUUAUAUACCCUGGUAGUCCACGCCGUACACGAUGUCCACUUUAGAUGUUGUGCCCUUGAGGCGUGUCUUCCAGAGCUAACGCGUUAUCUCCACCGCCUGGGAGAGUACCGCCGCAGGGUUAACACUCAUAUGAAUUUGACGGGGGCCCGCACAAGCGGUGGGAGCAUGUGGUUUU
rnacentral:rRNA from 1 species